AUUCAAUUACCGCCGGGUAAUAAGGCGCAUUUGCGUCGGAAUUCAUGUCAUUAGGCCAUAGAAGACAUGAAUCCCGACGCUUUUUAUUU
rnacentral:ncRNA from 1 species